ACAACUCAUCCUUGCAAUGAGCCUGUUAUUUGGACUGUGAUGAAAGAGGUCAGAAGUGUAACGGGGGAGCAAGUUGAGCUACUAAGGGCUCCAGUGAAUCAUACGGACAAUGCAAGGCCGACACAGCUAGUAAACGGACGCAAAGCGAGCUCUUGAUCGGUGAGGAGACUAGGAGAUCGUUUGGACGUCCUAAUCCGCUGUAAUAUCUAUCAUUGUAGUAAAAAAAAUGAAUACAUUCGCCCCUAGUACUUCCGUCAAUUCGUUUUAGGAUCAAAACGGAGGAGGUAAAUCACGGACGACUACUAGCCUUUGGAAUAGUGACUAGCACAUAAGGGAGGUAUUUACCUCGGUUUUUACCGAGAUUCGAACCCCAGACCUCAUUGUGAUAACACUUC